GCUGAGGGGGGCGCCCGCCCCUCACGGCCGGCCCGGCGACGCCGCCAGUGGGCAGGUAACGCGCCGGGCGCUGCCCCCUCCACUUUAACUUUGUUGUGGUUAAUUAUUGAUUUGGGGGACUUGGGGUUGGUUUCUGCCUCUUCCCUGACAGAAGCCCAGGAGCAAGGGAGACACCUCGAGCCCCUGGAAGCGGUUUUAUCCCCUCGCACACCAUGAACCGCCUCAGCCCUUGCUGCGGUUAAAAUAAAAAUCCUCGUUGCGGGCCCCGGCGUUAAGCAGCUUAAAACGUUGUCAAGCCAAGAGGAAAGAAGAGAAAUAUUUCCAGUGAAUAAAAGAGUCUGCGCGCAAAGAGGAGAAAAUGCAGGUUACUGAGCUGGGCCUGUGUGGGUCACAUUUCAGCUGUCCCUUCUCCCUAACGCCUAAAGAGAGAUCAUGCAAAGAUCUAUUUCUUCCCUGCUUGAAGGAAAGCCACAAAUCACCUUUUUAG
rnacentral:lncRNA from 1 species